rnacentral:rRNA from 1 species
GAUGAACGCUGGCGGCGUGCCUAAUACAUGCAAGUCGAGCGAACAGACGAGGAGCUUGCUCCUCUGACGUUAGCGGCGGACGGGUGAGUAACACGUGGAUAACCUACCUAUAAGACUGGGAUAACUUCGGGAAACCGGAGCUAAUACCGGAUAAUAUAUUGAACCGCAUAGUUCAAUAGUGAAAGUCGGUUUUGCUGUCACGUAUAGAUGGAUCCGCGCCGCAUUAGCUAGUUGGUAGGGUAACGGCUUACCAAGGCAACGAUGCGUAGCCGAACUGAGAGGGUGAUAGGCCACAUGGGAGCUGAGACACGGUCAAGACUCCUACGAGAGGCAGCAGACGGGAAUCUUCCGCAAUGGGCGGAAGCAUGACGGAGCAACGCGGCGUGAGUGAUGAAGGUCUUCGGAUCGUAAAACUCUGUUAUUAGGGAAGAACAAAUGUGUAAGUAGAUAUGGACGUCUUGACGGUACCUAGUCAGAAAGCCACGGCUAACUACGUG